rnacentral:rRNA from 1 species
GACGAACGCUGGCGGCGUGCUUAACACAUGCAAGUCGAACGGAAAGGCCCUGCUUUUGUGGGGUGCUCGAGUGGCGAACGGGUGAGUAACACGUGAGUAACCUGCCCUUGACUUUGGGAUAACUUCAGGAAACUGGGGCUAAUACCGGAUAGGAGCUCCUGCUGCAUGGUGGGGGUUGGAAAGUUUCGGCGGUUGGGGAUGGACUCGCGGCUUAUCAGCUUGUUGGUGGGGUAGUGGCUUACCAAGGCUUUGAAGGGUAGCCGGCCUGAGAGGGUGACCGGCCACAUGGGGACUGAGAGACGGCCCAGACUCCUACGGGAGGCAGCAGGGGGGAAUAUUGCACAAUGGGCGGAAGCCUGAUGCAGCAACGCCGCGUGCGGGAUGACGGCCUUCGGGUUGUAAACCGCUUUCGCCUGUGACGAAGCGUGAGUGACGGUAAUGGGUAAAGAAGCACCGGCUAACUACGUG